CCAAAAUCAGGAAGAGGCUUUGUUGACAUUGCCAGAAAUUUCUGUAUAUAAAUUUAGGGUUGUCAGAUUUUCUAAGUAUUAUAGAUUUUAAAGACUCUUCAUCGGUUUUGAAGACAUAAUUUGAUGACAGUUUAUUAUCUUCUUUAACACAGAAUUCAAUCAUGCAGAUGAAGUUUGUUUUUCUGGCACUGUGUGCUGUUUUAAUGUACGCCAAUACUGUACAAGGUCUUAAAACUAGAUUUUGGAGGCAAAGAAGCAGACUAUCAAAUGUGUAUCAAUGUUACAACCAGUGUAACUACGGCUUGAAGAAGUGUCUCCAUUACCAAUGCAGACCAAUUUACUAUAACAGAGGACAUUACUACUACAAUCAGUGUUGCCAGAACUGCCAAUACAUCAAACAGAAGUGUAACUACUUCUGUAAUCAACACGGAUACUAUCCAGGAUAUAACCAUAGAUUCUAAACCUUGUAACUACUUCUGUAAUCAACACGGAUACUAUCCAGGAUAUAACCAUAGAUUCUAAACCUUGUAACUACUUCUGUAAUCAACACGGAUACUAUCCAGGAUAUAACCAUAGAUUCUGAACCUAACAGUAACUACUUCUGUAAUCAACACGGAUACUAUCCAGGAUAUAACCAUAGAUUCUAAACCUUGUAACUACUUCUGUAAUCAACACGGAUACUAUCCAGGAUAUAACCAUAGAUUCUGAACCUAACAGUAACUACUUCUGUAAUCAACACUGAUACUAUCCAGGAUAUAACCAUAGAUUCUGAACCUUGUAACUACUUCUGUAAUCAAUACCGAUACUAUCCAGGAUAUAACCAUAUAUUCUGAACCUAACAGUAACUACUUCUGUAAUCAACACCGACACUAUCCAGGAUAUAACCAUAUAUUCUGAACCUAACAGUAACUACUUCUGUAAUCAACACCGAUACUAUCCAGGAUAUAACCAUAUAUUCUGAACCUAACAGUAACUACUUCUGUAAUCAACACCGAUACUAUCCAGGAUAUAACCAUAGAUUCUGAACCUAACAGUAACUACUUCUGUAAUCAACACCGAUACUAUCCAGUAUAUAACCAUAUAUUCUGAACCUAACAGUAACUACUUCUGUAAUCAACACCGAUACUAUCCAGGAUAUAACCAUAUAUUCUGAACCUAACAGUAACUACUUCUGUAAUCAACACCGAUACUAUCCAGUAUAUAACCAUAUAUUCUGAACCUAACAGUCACUACUUCUGUAAUCAACACCGAUACUAUCCAGGAUAUAACCAUAGAUUCUGAACCUUGUAACUACUUCUGUAAUCAACACCGAUACUAUCCAGGAUAUUACCAUAUAUUCUGAACCUUGUAACUACUUCUGUAAUAAACAUGGAUACUAUCCAGGAUAUAACCAUAGAUUCUGAACCUUGUAACUACUUCUGUAAUAAACAUGGAUACUAUCCAGGAUAUAACCAUAGAUUCUGAACCUUGUAACUACUUCUGUAAUAAACACCGAUACUAUCCAGGAUAUAACCAUAGAUUCUGAACCUUGUAACUACUUCUGUAAUAAACAUGGAUACUAUACAGGAUAUAACCAUAUAUUCUGAACCUUGUAACUACUUCUGUAAUCAACACCGAUACUAUCCAGGAUAUAACCAUAUAUUCUGAACCUAACAGAUAUUACAUCUCGUCAACUUGGACAGGAUAUAACCAUUAAUUUUGAACCUAACAGAUAUUACAUCUCGUCAACUUGACCAUCUUUCUUUUAUGGUCAGUUGAUAUUUCAAUUUUCUUUAUGAAUCAUUUAAUAAAACAUUGCAAAUGAA